AAUCAACGCUGGCGGCGUGCCUAACACAUGCAUGUCGAACGCGAGAGUCCCGCAAGGGACAAUUGAGUGGCAAACGGGUGAGUAACACGUGGGUGACCUGCCUUCGAGUGGGGGAUAACGUCCCGAAAGGGACGCUAAUACCGCAUGACAUCCUGCCUUUGGACAGGCGGAGAUCAAAGCCGGGGAUCGCAAGACCUGGCGCUUGAAGAGGGGCCCGCGUCUGAUUAGCUAGUUGGUGAGGUAACGGCUCACCAAGGCGACGAUCAGUAUCCGGCCUGAGAGGGCGGACGGACACACUGGGACUGAGACACGGCCCAGACUCCUACGGGAGGCAGCAGUGGGGAAUUGUUCGCAAUGGGCGCAAGCCUGACGACGCAACGCCGCGUGGAGGACGAAGAUC
rnacentral:rRNA from 1 species